rnacentral:lncRNA from 1 species
ACAGCUGCUCACCCCCCACAGAGCCACACACCUACCCACACACAGCAGCAGCUACACACAGGCACACCCAAACCCACUCCCAUAGAUCACACACACACACACACACACACACACACACACCCAGACUCAGACAUACCCCAAGGACCCACAUACCUACCUACACAGCAACAGACAUACCCAAACCCCCACCAGCCCUCACACACAUCCACACAUACUUACACACAGACACACCCAUGUAUACCAACACACACGCCCCUGCGUACACACCAACCCCCACAUCACAACAGACACACCCACACCCAGGCACACCCCAAAGAUCCACAUACCUACAUAGCAACAGAUACACCCAAACCCACACCAGCACUCACACACAUCCACACACACUUACACACAGACACACUCACAUCCAAACACAGCCAUACCCACAGACCCUCCCCCCACAUAGCCUCCACAUGCAGAAGCACACAGAUCCACACACCAGUACUCCCCUAGGGCGACAUCACACAUGCAGACCCCUGAACACCUGCAGACGGAGCAACACCACAAACCUCUGCACACCCACAGACAGAAAAGGACGCAGAAACACGUACUAAUACACUUCCCAUACAGGCGCACCCCUCAGGCCUCCACACACGUGCACGGCAUGCAUGCGCGCGCGCACACACACACACAACACACACAACACACACACACACACUCUUUCAAGGUCUAGCAAAACCCAUCAGGAGAGGUUGGGCCCUGGAGGUGCUGUGGCUUCCUGCUGCCCCGCUCCCUCCCGCCUCCUCCCUGCAGGGCUCCUCCUGGGGAGGCCUGUCCAGCUGCCAGGCCCCGCCCCGCCACAGCCCCCGCUGUCCUCCUCCCUCCCUCAGCCGUGCCAGCAGCGGCACAGAACUGGAAUUGCCCUGGACGGCCACAGCUCUGCAUAUCCCCCAGGAGUGUGGACAAGAAAAAAUAAACACAAUUAGAGUUCACGACAAUGGGCCCCUGAUGGAAGGCGCUGCAGGAAGACAAUGACAGUACCCUCCACUGAUCUGGGGCAAGAGGAAAUUUCUGAAUGAUCCCCCCGUAGCUUUCCACGCUCCACUGGGUCUGCGAUACAAAACUUCAGAUCCUAACAGUUGGGCUUUUCAAACAAACCAGUUUUUAAAAAUGAAUGUGGCUUACCCCCAACAUUCCAGCUGAUCAAAAGUACUUGUUUAGAAAAAUAAGUUUAGGAAUGAAGUGGAAACAAGGCCUUUGAAAUGCAGCUUAACCUAAAUAGCACAUUUUAGACUUUUCCUCCCCACUGCACAUUCUUUAUGGUGUAGGGGCCAGGGAGCCUGCAGUCUUCACCCCUCCUGAGCCCUCCUUGGCCUCGGGCUUCCUCUCCCCUGCUGCUGAGGCCUUCAGUCAGGGGCUGGCAUCUGGGAGAACCUUGAAACUGUUUCCCAUCCCCUUUGGCAGCAAGCAACAAGCACCAAAACGCUCCAGUUAACACCAGUGCAAUCAUCGUUAACGUGAAACAGCUGCCCGAGGCCUGGCGUAUCCACCAGACCGCCCCCUCCCCUCCAUGCUCAGCUGUGAGUCACCAGAGACCCCGGCUAAGGCAGGGCCCGGGAGGGAGCGGGGAUGCGAGGAUUGUUGAUGGAGCCCAGCUGUUGUAUAUGAGAAAGCAAACUAUUGCUAAAUCUCUUACCUACCUUGGAAAAAGUGUCUGAACUGUGUGCAUGAGGGACGGCGGUGGAGGAGAAGAAACAUGAAUUGAUUUAUGAACCCGAUUUAAGUUCCUAAAGUGAUUGUUUUAAAGUUAGAAACAGCCAGAGUCACUAUAGUAAGAUUUUGUUCAACCGUUUGCGAAAUCAGCAGGCAAAUCAAUGUCUUUUUUUCCUUCCUUUUUCUAGAGACCUGGGUUGAAUUUGCUUUCUGGUCACUUACAGUCCUCUAAAGCACAGACAAGAAAUCUUUUUUGCAUAAAUAACUUGUAUGUGUUCAUUCCCAGAGGAAGUUGUCCGCAUAAGCAAACAUCACCCAGAUAUAAGUUUAACCUCUUUAAUCUUCCCCUCCACCCUGUCCACAAGGACAUACCAAGCUUUCCAAAAUCCAGGCAGAACUCCAGUUCUCCGACCCAGAAAAAGCCUGGCCUCACUCUCCACCUCCAGCUCAGCACUCAGGCCUGGCAGGCCACCGGCUGCAGAAAGAUCCUCCUCCCCUUCCCCACCCAAGCAGUUGUGUUUCCCAGCAAAAAAUCGGACCCUCAGCUGCUACCGCAGCCACAUGAUCCACUCAGUGACUCACAGGCAGGCCACACCCCUUCAGGCCUCCCGGCCAGGCUCUGCUCCCAGCCAGCUAACUCUGGGAUGCAUCUUAUUACCAAAGGGAACAACUAGCUAACUAAUGCCCUUGACAGUCCAAAUAAUUACUUUCUUUCAUUAGAAGAACUUGCUUAUAAAAUAUAUACGGGCUGAGAGGACGCAGGCUCUUCUGAACUCUGGCUCUGCCAGCUCUCCAAGUCCUCCCCCACCAUGCCAAGACCUGGGGAAUGGCAGACAUGGUUAGCUGGGAAGCUAGAAAGCUAAGACAUUCCUGUUUAAAAAGAAAGCUCUUACAUGUUAAUACCUUUUUUUCCCAAAAAUUUUAUUGGGGGAAAACUACAAAACAUUUACAGUACAAUGUUUACAG